GUGUUUAUUUACCUUGUUGCUUCGGCGGGCCCGCCUUAACUGGCCGCCGGGGGGCUCACGCCCCCGGGCCCGCGCCCGCCGAAGACACCCUCGAACUCUGUCUGAAGAUUGUAGUCUGAGUGAAAAUAUAAAUUAUUUAAAACUUUCAACAACGGAUCUCUUGGUUCCGGCAUCGAUGAAGAACGCAGCGAAAUGCGAUACGUAAUGUGAAUUGCAAAUUCAGUGAAUCAUCGAGUCUUUGAACGCACAUUGCGCCCCCUGGUAUUCCGGGGGGCAUGCCUGUCCGAGCGUCAUUGCUGCCCUCAAGCACGGCUUGUGUGUUGGGCCCCGUCCUCCGAUUCCGGGGGACGGGCCCGAAAGGCAGCGGCGGCACCGCGUCCGGUCCUCGAGCGUAUGGGGCUUUGUCACCCGCUCUGUAGGCCCGGCCGGCGCUUGCCGAUCAACCCAAAUUUUUAUCCAGGUUGACCUCGGAUCAGGUAGGGAUACCCGCUGAACUUAAGCAUAUCAAU
rnacentral:rRNA from 1 species